CACCGCCCGCCGAGCUGACUCGGCGGUGCCAGCCCCGCUGUGACGCAGGCCGCGGUGUCCGGGAACUUCCUCCCCUGCAGAGGCUACCCCGCGCCCCGGACCCGCCAGCGAGGGCUGCGGCCGGCCGCUGAAGGCUUUCUUCAGGGCGAGGAAGGAAAUCCUCCCUCCGCUCGGCGACAGGGCCACUCCCACCUCUGAGACGCCCACCUGGAGGGCUCUGCGCUGGGAGUCCGCGGCGUCUAAUGCCGCCUCCACCUUCAUCCCUAACAAAGCGCGGAAAACCCGAGGCUUCUGUGCGCCCAGCGCCUGCUCGGCUGCCGCGGCUCCUCCCCUGGGAUGAAAAAGCAAACUCUGAUUCUUGGAAGCUGGCAACCCUCUGUAUGGAACAUCUGCCCAGUGAAAAAAUGUACAGACAAGAUUACUCAGCACCAUGGUGUCUUCUGGGAAUGCCUGAUCAGUGCUAGCUAUUCUAAGAGCACCAAAAGUUAAACUAUUGCUCGGUCUUGGGAGUCUGGAAAAGACAGACAGAUGUAUGGGAAUUACUGAUAGACAACUACUUAGUAGUCAUUCGCCGGUGGGUCUGUUCUUACACAGCACGCCUUCAGAAAGCAGUCACCUCCUUUCACCAUGUUUCUACUUCUAAGCCAAAAUGAAAAGAAAAUUUGUCCAAAAGUUGUCCUCUUUGGCUUUUAACCCCUUUCCCCCUGCUCACCCAGCAAAAUACUACACUUUUUCUAAUUCCAGAGGUGGUUUAGGGUGUCCUUCCCAGAAGACAACCUUAACCCUUCUUAGGCCUUAGAAGAUGACCCUAACACCAGCCUUAAUUAACUUAGAUCAAGACAAAAAUUUAUAUUGGGGCUUUCCUCCUAGAUAGCAGGUGGAAAAAUUCCUAGAGAGUCUCUGGGAAAAAGGCAAAGCCUGACUUUAGCAAUGUGCUAAAAAAUUCAAAUCUCUUGUAAGCCACCAGGUAGAUGCAGAAAUACUCUGAGGUAGCUUCAGCUCUUAAAUACCUUACCCAGAUUUAAACACUCACUGAGGAAAGUACUAAAAACACAAACCUCAUGUGAAGGGCCUUGUUCUGCAAUAGCUUUCUGAGUGCACUUCUGCCUUCCAUCCUCCUUGUACCACUGGCAUCCUGACCACAGGUUUAGGCAUCUCUGUCAAGGAACCAUUGAACCCUAGACUUUGGACUCAGGUGAACCAGGAUUAAAUCCUUGCUUAUCCUGUUUACACUUAGGGAAGUUACUGCUCCAUUUUAUUCUCCUCCCAUCAUCAAUACAUAUAGGUAUAGUACUGUGAGAUGCUGUGAGAAUCAGAAAACAUGCUUGAAGCAUGUGCUAAGCACUUUAUAAGUAUUCGAUAAAUGAUAGCUACUAUUGUCCUUACUGUUCUUCAUUGCCCUGAAAGCAAAAGAGCCAGGAACAGCAACAAAAUUUGGAAACAUGGUACAUGUAUCCCCUGCAAGUUGAGUUUCCCCCUGAGUUGCUUUAUUGCAGUACUGUGCCUGCCUUCUAACAGGGUGACCUGGACAGUUCUACAUGUGUAGGCAAGCGAUUCAUAUGCACAUUAAAGUUUUACAGGUACUAGUCUAAAAACCACUAUGCUAUACUGCUUAGUUCACUUUUUUUCUUAUUUUAUAUAGCAUUUAAACCUUAAUUCUAAGUUGUCUCACCUCAGUCAAUCUAACGCAAAUCACCAUCCACACUCUGUAAAGCACUGGGUGAAUUAUCAAUCAAAGUCACCUUGUUUGAAUGUUGGGCCCUGAGGGUCUCAAAGAAGUGUAAUGCUUAUUACCUGACUUCAAGGUACAAGAAAACUCUGGCUGGGCUGUAGCAUUCCUUCAAGGUGUAAUUCAUAAGUCACCUUCUCUGUGAAGCUGCUGGAGGUUCCAG